GGGAUGUAGCUCAGUUGGGAGAGCGGCGGCUUUGCAAGCCGUAGGUCAGGGGUUCGAGACCCCUCAUCUCC
rnacentral:tRNA from 1 species